rnacentral:rRNA from 1 species
CCUACGGGAGGCAGCAGUGAGGAAUAUUGGUCAAUGGGCGAGAGCCUGAACCAGCCAAGUCGCGUGAGGGAGUACUGCCCUAUGGGUUGUAAACCUCUUUUGUCGGGGAGCAAAAGCCGGACGUGUCCGGCUGUGAGAGUUCCCGAAGAAAAAGCAUCGGCUAACUCCGUGCCAGCAGCCGCGGUAAUACGGAGGAUGCGAGCGUUAUCCGGAUUUAUUGGGUUUAAAGGGUGCGCAGGCGGAUUUUUAAGUCAGCGGUAAAAUCGUGGGGCUCAACCCCAUCCAGCCGUUGAAACUGGGGAUCUAGAGUGUGCGAGAGGUAUGCGGAAUGCGUGGUGUAGCGGUGAAAUGCAUAGAUAUCACGCAGAACCCCGAUUGCGAAGGCAGCAUACCGGUGCACAACUGACGCUCAGGCACGAAAGCGUGGGUAUCGAACAGGAUUAGAUCCCCGGUAGUC